rnacentral:tRNA from 1 species
ACCCUGUAAGCUCAGUCGGUAGAGCAUGGGACUCUUGAUACCAGGGUCAUGAGUUCAAGCCCCACACUGGGUG